GUUCCCGCGACUGGGUGUGGCUGCACAAGCCGCAGGCAGUGGGCGGCCUUGAAUUCUGGCUCCCCUGCUCCCUGGCUGGGCACGCAGUUCCGUGCCUUUGGACUUCAGCCUCCCUCCUAGGCUGCUGUGGGAUCAGGAAGGCAGCUCAGGGAAAUGGGAGACAGCCCUAGCGCUAGUGUGGUCAGAGGGGCCUGGAGGUUGCUGAUUUUAGCUGCGCGGUGGCCUUGGGUGGAUGUGCUGCCAUCAGGAAACGGGCAGCUGUGCCAACCAUGUUUACUGCCGGGAACAGAAGAGACGCUCACAUUUGAUGCCUUGCGUCCAAAGAAUGCUCGAGAUGAUGUGGCGUUCCUGGGGGAGAAGCAGAAGUAAAUCGGGGUCGGACCUGCCCCUCGGAACCUUCUGAUUCUAGCUCCAGGGGCUGACAAAGCCCGUCAGAGUCAAGAUGGCAUUCGUUUGAUCUUGCCAGGCUCUGAUUUUUGCCCAUGUCUCCCUCUUUAGGAACAAAAAUACUGUCACAU